AUACGUAGGUGACAAGCGUUAUCCGGAUUUACUGGGCGUAAAGGGCGUGUAGGCGGUCUUGCAAGUCAGAAGUGAAAUUCCUGAGCUCAACUCGGGCGCUGCUUCUGAAACUGCAGGACUUGAGUGCUGGAGGGGAUAGCGGAAUUCCUAGUGGAGCGGUAAAAUGCGCAGAUAUUAGGAAGAACACCGGUGGCGAAGGCGGCUAUCUGGACAGUAACUGACGCGGAGGCGCGAAAGCGUGGGGAGCAAACAGGAGUAGAUACCCUGUUAGUCCACGCCGUAAACGAUGAAUACUAGGUGUAGGGGGUAUCGACUCCCUCUGUGCCGCAGUUAACACAAUAAGUAUUCCGCCUGGGGAGUACGGCCGCAAGGUUGAAACUCAAAUGAAUUGACGGGG
rnacentral:rRNA from 1 species